rnacentral:sRNA from 1 species
AAAAAUAUAUAUGAUUUAAUGUUUUGUAUUUUCUGAAUGUACAACUCUUAUAUCUGUAUAUUAUUUAGUAUACAAUUACUAUGUUUGAUUUUUACUGUUUAAAAAUAUAGGAACAAUAACGUAUCGUUCAAUCUAAAUUAUAAUUGUAUUUUGAUUGUUAUAUAUAGGAUUUCAUUUGUGGUAUACCGUCUCGUAUUACUAUCAAUCCAAACCCGUUCUACCAUCUAAUCCCGUUCAGUGAAACUAAACAUAUCUAAUGGAUUUCACCCGUGGUAUACCGUCUCGUAUUACUGUCGACCCAAACUCGUCUUACCAUCUAACCCCGUUCAGUGAAAUUAAACAUUUUUUUUUGUUAUUUUGUUUUAAUAAUACUUUAAUUUAAAAGAUAUAUAAUUCAAAUUAAUUUAAUUUUUUUUCUUUCUAAUGGUUAUUUAAUUGUUAUUAA